rnacentral:rRNA from 1 species
UACGGAGGGGGGCUAGCGUUGUUCGGAAUUACUGGGCGUAAAGCGCACGUAGGCGGCUUUGUAAGUUAGAGGUGAAAGCCCAGGGCUUAACCCUGGAAUUGCCUUUAAGACUGCAUCGCUAGAAUCGUGGAGAGGUGAGUGGAAUUCCGAGUAUAGAGGUGAAAUUCGUAGAUAUUCGGAAGAACACCAGUGGCGAAGGCGACUCACUGGCCCGAUACUGACGCUGAGGCACGAAAGCGUGGGGAGCAAACAGG